UACGGAGGGGGCAAGCGUUGUUCGGAAUUACUGGGCGUAAAGGGCGCGUAGGCGGCCAGUCGCGUCAGAUGUGAAAGCCCCGGGCUCAACCUGGGAACUGCAUUUGAAACGGGCUGGCUUGGAUCCGAGAGAGGAGUGUGGAAUUCCCAGUGUAGAGGUGGAAUUCGUAGAUAUUGGGAAGAACACCAGUGGCGAAGGCGGCACUCUGGCUCGGUAUCGACGCUGAGGCGCGAAAGCGUGGGGAGCAAACAGG
rnacentral:misc_RNA from 1 species